rnacentral:snRNA from 1 species
UUUUUUAUGGAUGGAGAUACUCU